AAGUUACUUAAACAACCAGGAGGUUGGCUUAGAAGCAGCCAUCCUUUAAAGAAAGCGUAAUAGCUCACUGGUCUAGUGAUUUUGCGCGGAAAAUAUAACGGGGCUAAAGUAAGUACCGAAGCUGUAGACUUGCACACAACUUAGAUUAUUUAAGUUUAGAAUAUGAGAAACUAAGUUAUAUGUUUAGUUAUAUUUUUACUGAUUUUUAUAGAGUAAAGAUAGAAAUAAAACUUAGUAAAAUCAGUAAAAAUAUUCUUAGACUAAAGUUAAGUAGUUUAAGUUGUGUGCAAGUGGUAGGAGAGCGUUCUAUUUGCGUCGAAGGUAUACCGGUAAGGAGUGCUGGAGCGAAUAGAAGUGAGCAUGCAGGCAUGAGUAGCGAUAAUUAAUGUGAGAAUCAUUAACGCCGUAAACCCAAGGUU
rnacentral:rRNA from 1 species